CUCCUAAUCUCUCAAACUCUUUCUAUCACAGUGUAAAAAUAAGAGAUGGGAAGAACUGAGGACCAGACAAAUGGAACACACAUUAAAGAGCUCAAUAAUUUUGAAAUACAAAAGUCAGAACACAUAUGAGAAGCAUGUCAAGGAAAAGCUGGCAGAAAACUAUAACUGAUUUGGAAAAGGAGUGGAUAAAGAACAUGGAAUCAAUGAUGCUGUCAGACCUUCUGGAGUCAGAAUCACCAAGAUCCUGGCAUCCUGCGAACUCAUUCCCUACCAGGAAAAGCUGAUGCCUUUGGUUCUUAGGAUGACAUCAUCCC
rnacentral:lncRNA from 10 species